rnacentral:rRNA from 1 species
AAGGUUCUUUCGGGAACUGGAGAGCGGCGGACGGGUUAGUAACGCGUGGGAACGUGCCCUAAAGUCUGGGAUAACUAUUAGAAAUGAUAGCUAAUACCGGAUGGUCCCUUCGGGGUAAAGCUUUAGCGCUUUAGGAUCGGCCCGCGUUAGAUUAGGUAGUUGGUGAGGUAAUGGCUCACCAAGCCUACGAUCUAUAGCUGGUUUGAGAGGAUGAUCAGCAACACUGGAACUGAGACACGGUCCAG